rnacentral:rRNA from 1 species
AUUGAACGCUGGCGGCAGGCCUAACACAUGCGAGUCGAGCGGAUGAAGGGAGCUUGCUCCUGGAUUCAGCGGCGGACGGGUGAGUAAUGCCUAGGAAUCUGCCUGAUAGUGGGGGAUAACGUCCGGAAACGGGCGCUAAUACCGCAUACGUCCUGAGGGAGAAAGGGGGGGAUCUUCGGACCUCACGCUAUCAGAUGAGCCUAGGUCGGAUUAGCUAGUUGGUGGGGUAAAGGCCUACCAAGGCGACGAUCCGUAACUGGUCUGAGAGGAUGAUCAGUCACACUGGAACUGAGACACGGUCCAGACUCCUACGGGAGGCAACAGUGGGGAAUAUUGGACAAUGGGCGAAAGCCUGAUCCAGCCAUGCCGCGUGUGUGAAGAAGGUCUUCGGAUUGUAAAGCACUUUAAGUUGGGAGGAAGGGCAGUAAGAUAAUACCUUGCUGUUUUGACGUUACCAACAGAAUAAGCACCGGCUAACUUCGUG